GUACACGCUGUGACUAGCAUAUCAAUAAGCGGAGGAAAAGUACUACCUACGCUUAGGAUGUUGACACACGCGCGUGCUCGACUCUAUACAUGACUCUGUGCAUAUCAAUAAGCGGAGGAAAAGGCUGCGGAACUGAACGACCGCUACCUACGCUUAGGAUGUUGACACACACGCGUGCUCGACUCUAUACAUGACUCUGCGCAUAUCAAUAAGCGGAGGAAAAGAAACUAACAAGGAUUCCCCUAGUAACGGCGAGUGAAGCGGGAAGAGCUCAAAUUUGAAAUCUUAAAGGGUUUCCCUUUACGAAUUGUAGUUUAAAGAAGUGUUUUCUGUUGAGGUUUUGGUAAAAGUUCUUUGGAAUAGGACAUCAUAGAGGGUGAGAAUCCCGUAUUUGACCUUUACUUUCAACUUUGUGAUACACUUUCAAAGAGUCGGAUUGUUUGGGAAUGCAGUCCAAAAUGGGUGGUAAAUUUCAUCUAAAGCUAAAUAUUGGCGAGAGACCGAUAGCGAACAAGUACCGUGAGGGAAAGAUGAAAAGAACUUUGAAAAGAGAGUUAAACAGUACGUGAAAUUGUCAAAAGGGAAGCGUUUGACACCAGUGUUGUUUUUCUGAAAAUCAAUUAAAGAACUGUUUAUGCUAAGCUGUUUAGACUUUAUCAGCUAACUGUUUAGUUUUGAGCUUUUCUUUAAUGCACUUUUCAGUUAACAAGUCAACAUCAAUUUCUUUUGCUGUAAAAAAGCUUGAGGAAGGUGGCUUGAGAUUCGUCUUAAGUGUUUAUAGCCUCUUGCCUAUGCAGUCGGAGAGAUUGAGGUCUGCAGCGUAGAUCCUUCGGGGCUAAAUGCAUUUGUGCUAAGUUAUAGCAUUUUAUAGACAACUUGUUGACUAUGAUUUGUCUUGUAGCUUACUCGCUUAUGUUAUUUUACCUACGCUUAGGAUGUUGAUCUACAGAGCGAGAGU
rnacentral:rRNA from 1 species